rnacentral:rRNA from 1 species
UAUCUCUGUAGAGUCUGCAUAUCAAUAAGCGGAGGAAAAGAAACUAACAAGGAUUCCCCUAGUAACGGCGAGUGAAGCGGGAAGAGCUCAAAUUUGAAAUCUUCAAGGUUUGACCUUGACGAAUUGUAGUUUAAAGAAGUGUUUUCGGUUAGAGGAGUAGUAAAAGUUCUUUGGAAUAGGACAUCAUAGAGGGUGAGAAUCCCGUAUUUGACUAUUCUUUCUAGCUUUGUGAUACACUUUCAAAGAGUCGGAUUGUUUGGGAAUGCAGUCCAAAAUGGGUGGUAAAUUUCAUCUAAAGCUAAAUAUUGGCGAGAGACCGAUAGCGAACAAGUACCGUGAGGGAAAGAUGAAAAGAACUUUGAAAAGAGAGUUAAACAGUACGUGAAAUUGUCAAAAGGGAAGCGUUUGACACCAGUGUUGUUUUUCCGAAAAUCAAUUAAAAAUUGAUUCAUGCCAGGUUGUAUUGACCUUAUCAGCUUGCAAUUUGGUUUUGGGUCUCUUUUUGAUGCACUUUUCGGUUAACAAGUCAACAUCAAUUUCCUUUGCUGUAAAAAGGUAAGAGGAAGGUGGCUUCAAUUUCGGUUGAAGUGUUUAUAGCCUUUUAUCUCUGCAGUCGGGGAGAUUGAGGUCUGCAGCGUAGAUCCUUCGGGGCUAGAUACAUUUAUGCUAAGUUAUAGCUUUUCAUAGACAACUUGUUGACUAUGUUUAGUCAUGUAGCUUACUCGUAAGUGCUAUUUUACCUACGCUUAGGAUGUUGACUGAUAUGUAGUCGUA